GUGCCAGCCGCCGCGGUAAUACGUAGGGGGCGAGCGUUGUCCGGAGUUACUGGGCGUAAAGGGUGCGUAGGCGGCCCAUUAAGUCAGGUGUGAAAAACCCUGGCUCAACCGGGGUAUUGCACUUGAAACUGGUGGGCUUGAGUGCAGGAGAGGGAAGCGGAAUUCCUGGUGUAGCGGUGAAAUGCGUAGAUAUCAGGAGGAACACCAGUGGCGAAGGCGGCUUCCUGGCCUGUAACUGACGCUGAGGCACGAGAGCGUGGGGAGCAAACAGGAUUAGAUACCCUGGUAGUCCACGCUGUAAACGAUGGAUACUAGGUGUAGGGGGCGAUUUAGCCUUCUGUGCCGAAGUUAACGCAAUAAGUAUCCCGCCUGGGGAGUACGGCCGCAAGGUUGAAACUCAAAUGAAUUGACGG
rnacentral:rRNA from 1 species